rnacentral:rRNA from 1 species
GACGAACGCUGGCGGCGUGCUUAACACAUGCCAGUCGAACGGAAAGGCCCUGCUUUUGUGGGGUGCUCGAGUGGCGAACGGGUGAGUAACACGUGAGUAACCUGCCCUUGACUUUGGGAUAACUUCAGGAAACUGGGGCUAAUACCGGAUAGGAGCUCCUGCUGCAUGGUGGGGGUUGGAAAGUUUCGGCGGUUGGGGAUGGACUCGCGGCUUAUCAGCUUGUUGGUGGGGUAGUGGCUUACCAAGGCUUUGACGGGUAGCCGGCCUGAGAGGGUGACCGGCCACAUUGGGACUGAGAUACGGCCCAGACUCCUACGGGAGGCAGCAGUGGGGAAUAUUGCCCAAUGGGCGGAAGCCUGAUGCAGCAACGCCGCGUGCGGGAUGACGGCCUUCGGGUUGUAAACCGCUUUCGCCUGUGACGAAGCGUGAGUGACGGUAAUGGGUAAAGAAGCACCGGCUAACUACGUG